ensembl:lncRNA
AUAUGUAGCACCCGUAUCACCACUCUGUGAGUCACUCACGUGAGAAUGGGGGGUGCUUGGGUUCGAUGUAUCGUAAAACCUUUUAGCAAGAAGCUAUUUAAAAAAUAAAUGAGACCCAGAGAUGGAUGUUCUUUUAACAAAAGUAAAAUAAAUAGGGCAACGCCCUUGUUUAUUUAAAUACAAUAAUUAAUUUCCCCCAAAACCCAAUAUUACCAAAUAGAGAAAAAUAAAUAACCAAAACUUCCCCAAAACAUAAAUAAUAAACUCCAAAUUCAGUGAUACAAACCCAAUAGUAUCAAGGACGUUACAUCAAAAUAUAUGUUCGAAAUGUUCCCGUUCCUCAACUCGGAGAAUACCAGAGUUCAACAAUAACAACAAAAACUUUCCCCUCCAAGUGUCAUGAAACAAGUAUCAGCCGAUGCGGUGUUGGGCCCAAUCACCACACACAGCCACACAUGUUCCAGUUACUCACGGCAACGAUAUGUACGGAAAGAAAACACGUUACAGACCUGUUUGGUCUGGCAAAACAUUGAGAGCGCCGAAAUCACUUUCAAAACAUUGAGAGCGUGGAAACUCGGGUCCGCGAUGCGAGUCACCGACACGUCCGCCCGGCCACGCCCACCGUGGCUAGCUAGCUCGGCUCCCUCGAUGGCGACCUCCGCUGCUUCUCCCCCGCUCCGUCCGACGGGGUUUCAGCUUUGGUUUCUCCUCCGUUUCCAGGCUCACAAACACACAGAGUCCGCGGUCCACUCCUUCCAGCCUCCCGCGCCGGUUUAUUCUGCCUUCUUGUCUCCUGCUAGCGUCUUUUUCUCUUCCCCAAAAACGCCGGCGUCCCGUCUCUUCACGACUUCUUCUCUCCUCCUCGAAACCCCAAAAACUUCCAGAACUUUCCAGUCACGUGUCUUCCCCGUUGUUCUCCCAACCAAUCACCAUUGGCUAUACAGCGCGAAUACACAACUGACCAAUAAUACGGUAACAAACAGUAAGUACUAAAAGGCUAACGGCCUAAAGCCUCUGGAGAUAUUAUUUAACUAAAUAUGAACUUAACAUUAGUAUUCAUCACUAUGACAAACAUUACUCCAAUCACGACAAAUAAACAUCUCCCCACUUAGAAGUCAGGUGUCCCCUAUUAUGUAUUUAAUGUAAAAUAAACAUUUACUUUUUCUUUUUAUAGGCAGGCACCUAGUUUUGAAAGUAUGACUAUAGUCCUAAGGUCACCAGGGGACUACAUAU